rnacentral:rRNA from 1 species
UACGGAGGGCGAAAGGGUUGUUCGGAAUCAUUGGGCGUAAAGCGCGUGUAGGCGGUUUGGUAAGGCGGGUGUAAAAUCCCGGUGCUCAACCCCGGAACUGCAUUCGAAACUGCCUGGCUAGAGUCCCGGAGGGGAGGGCGGAAUUCCCGGUGUAGAGGUGAAAUUCGUAGAUAUCGCGAGGAACACCAGCGGUGAAGGCGGCCCUCUGGACGGUGACUGAAGCUGAGACGCAAAAGCGUGGGGAGCAAACAGG